CAUCUGUAGUGAGUAGAAGCAAGUCCAAAAAUCCCGAUAUUACAAAAAGACUGGGUAUAGAUAUCAUCAAGAAUCUGUACACAUUGUAGGCUAUCGAUUUGUAUCCAGUCCAGCCAGCAGGCUUCCAAAGACCUGUGCACGUAAAUAUGAAGAAACACUCUGGCAGAAUUUCCAUCGUGGAUGAUACGAUAAAGGAAAUAAAUGAAUACGACCCUAAGAAAUUUUACCCUAUGUCUUGCAUUUAUAUUUCUGCUACUUAAAUAUUCGUCGCCGCUAGGACUGAUGACAGAUAAUUGCGGAUAGAGAAACAUUAAACUUCUUGCUGUCAUUUUAAGUCAAGACUUCGUGCUGAAAGCAACUAAAGACUGGGAAAAUUGAUUUGUUACUAAAGGAAAUUCUAAAAUGAAUUAUUAUUAUAUUCGUCUAUUGGAGAUUCAGUUCCGAUAAAUAAAUGGACAAAUUUAGUUUACUAUUAUUUGAUAUAUUUUUUUAUAAAUUUACGAUUGUUGGAGAAAAUUUUUAACGGACAUCUCCAUGGAAAUUUUCAAUGAAAACCAGGAAAAUAAUGAGUAGAAAAACAAGUCACUAUGGUUCUUUGCUCACUCGCAGUGACAAAGUGACAACGUGCCCGCUGGCGAAUACAAUGGGAUUGAUUGACGAUAUCAUCAUAAUGAUAAUGUAUUUUUGAGCAUUAUUGCUCAGUGCGAACCAAUUUGUGGUGUACAUUGCAGUGCUGAGUUCUGCAAACUAUUGAAAUUUUUUUUUUUAAGAUGUAGGGUAGAAAUUAAAUUUGGUCACUGCUCCAUUCUUGGACACUUAACACUUGAUUUUAAUUAAUGAAAAAGUAUAAAAUAAAAUUUCUAUUGUAUGGAUAUGAUAAAAAUAUAAUUGUACAGAUUUAAAAAAUUAAUGGUCUCACUGCGUCUUUUACAAAUCAUUUUAUUUAAAUUUUUCAAGGGUCAAAAAGUGGCCAAAAAUUGUGCCUCUACCUUAUAUAUAUUUUUGGAGCAGAUUUUAUAGCUAUAAAUUCACCUCGAGAGUUACUCGGUCGCCUGACAUACAGAUGUAUAAUAUUUGAAAGAACAUGCAGAGAAUAUAUACAGACAAUCCAAAAAAUUCUGGUGUAAAUGGCACCAUUUGAGAUAGAGCAUAAACGCUGCUGCAGAGAGCUAUUGAACUGAAUGAAUACUGAAUAAAUAUCAUUGGGCCAAAUACAUGACUCAUUGUAUCAAUCAUCCUACAAAUAA